rnacentral:rRNA from 1 species
UGAGUAAUCUGCCCUUCUCAUCGGAAUAAGCGUUGGAAACGACGUCUAAUGCCGAAUACGACCUCCUUUCACAUGAUCGGAGGUGGAAAGCUCCGGCGGAGAAGGAUGAGCUCGCGGCCUAUCAGCUAGUUGGUGUGGGUAACGGCCCACCAAGGCGACGACGGGUAGCCGGCCUGAGAGGGUGACCGGCCACACUGGGACUGAGACACGGCCCAGACUCCUACGGGAGCAGCAGG